rnacentral:rRNA from 1 species
CAGCCGCCGCGGUAAUACGGAGGGUGCAAGCGUUAAUCGGAAUUACUGGGCGUAAAGCGCGCGUAGGUGGUUUGUUAAGUUGGAUGUGAAAUCCCCGGGCUCAACCUGGGAACUGCAUCCAAAACUGGCAAGCUAGAGUAUGGUAGAGGGUGGUGGAAUUUCCUGUGUAGCGGUGAAAUGCGUAGAUAUAGGAAGGAACACCAGUGGCGAAGGCGACCACCUGGACUGAUACUGACACUUAGGUGCGAAAGCGUGGGGAGCAAACAGGAUUAGAUACCCGUGUAGUCCCUGUCUCUUAUAU